CAGCUGUUCCGGAGCUAUGAACCACCUGGCGCAAACGGGCGCCUUGCCAGGUGUGGAGCGAGUGGCGCGACCGACAGAACGGAGG
rnacentral:ncRNA from 1 species